rnacentral:lncRNA from 1 species
CCCUACUCUUUUUCCUUACAAUUCAAUUCUGUAUUUCCAUUAUCACACAAACCAUUCUCUAUUCCUUGCUCUUUUGCAUUUUCUUCAGGUGAUGAGCCCUUUUCUCUUGCUUCUUCUUCAGCUUUCAAUCUGGCGUCCUCUUUUGCCUUCUCAAGCCCUGCUAUUAGUCCCUCCAAGCAAACCUUGCUGUCUCCAGGUAGAGUCUUUGGCAUUAAAUGCUCCGCAACUUCAGCGGGAGUCAUUUUGGUCUCUCCCAGCAACUCUUGGAUCUUGGAAUACAAGUGGUGUGUUUCAAGCCGAAGGUAAUUCUUAGCCAAAACCUUGAAUGCUUCAAAGCUACAAUAGGACAAUUCUAUGUGCUUGUCCAUCCUUCCUUUCCUGAUGAGAGCUGGAUCGAGUUUCUCAAAGAAAUUAGUUGUGAAAACAACCAGUCUUUCUCCUUUACAAGCUGACCAGAGUCCAUCAAUAAAAUUCAAAAGCCCAGAGAGAGUCACCUGACUCUGUUUGCCACCUGUUUCUUCCUUUGGCAGCUUCAGCUUUGGAUCCUUCUCAUCUCCCCUUCCCUGUUCUUCCUUUUUCUUCUUCCUUUGACCGGUUAGAUCAAGAGAACAGUCAAUAUCCUCGAUCACAAUAAUGGAUCUGCUCGAUGUCUCGAUCAGUAGCUUUCUCAGCUCAGUGUUAUCUUUCACGGAAGUCAAUUCGAGAUCAUAGAUAUCGUAGUUCAAAAGAUUAGCCAUGGCUGCGAUCAUAGUGGAUUUACCAGUCCCUGGGGGGCCAUAAAGAAGAUAACCCCGCUUCCAAGCCCUUCCAAUUCUUGCAUAGAACUCUUCUGCCUGGCUGAAUGUGAUGAGAUCAUCCAUGAUUUCCUUCUUCUUAUCAGCCUCCAUUGCAAUCGACUCAAAACUAGCCGGAUGCUCAAACACUACAUGCCUCCAGCAUGAUCCACUAUUAGUGUAAAGCUUCCUUUGCCGGUUUUUCACCUUGAUUGCAUCACCCUCUUUCAAGACAUGACUCAAGUAAGUCCCGAGUAUGAGAUUCCGGUGUCUUUUAUGGAAAGUGAGCGUGUAGUACAUUCUCUCAUCCGUUACUGGAUAGAAAGAAAAUGGUUGUGUCUUGGAAAUAUGUUUCCCAGAAGCCCACCGUAGUUUGACUCCUUGGAACUCGUCAGUAACCUCUUCAAAGUCAUCCAUGCUAAGAACAAGGGACUGGGUGCUGUUCUUGACGACAUCAGCCUUGAGCCGCUUAGCCUGCAUAGAUGAACUAGAACCAAGGUAGUUCUCGAUAGCAGAGUAAGCUUCACUCCGCAUGAAACGAUCUCCAGUGAAUUCAUUGAACGUAAUUUGAAUGAAAGGGUAAACAAAAGUGAAGACGCUUUUGGAGUGUUUCUCGAAAUAGUUUUGCAACUGAUAUGGACAAUAUUGCUUGAACAUAGCCCAAAAAAACAUGACACUCGCAAUUACAGAUCCUAACUGAGUAAACAUAUCUACUGUCUUCAUUCUUUCUUUCCUUUUUUUUUUAUCUGUUCCCCUCCUUCCCUUAUCUUGAAUGAAUGUUUUGCGGCAACAAUUUUAUAGCCCAGGGAGCAAGGACAGAGAUGAUCUUUAUUUUUAUAUUAAAAUAUUAAUAUAAUAGUCUAUAUCUUGCCAAAAAAACAAAAACUGGCGUGGCCAGAUAAAUACCAUAACUUGCUCAACAUUUCUAUUUUCUUGAUAUUUUUUUGUCAAUUGUUUUGUGUUUUUUUGUUCAGGUAGGUUGGUCCCUUUUUUUUUUUUCUUGAUUUAUUUAUGUCGACAGGAUAUAUGUCACAUCUACUUUUGAAAUUAUAGAAUUACUAUAGUUCUUGAAUUUUCAGUGUAAGUAUUUUUUCUUUAAUUUUCUAAAUAACAAAUCUAAUUGAAUUUAUUUUACUUUUUCUUCUUCUAUCUAAAUUUUAAUAGAUAGCUAACAAAAAUCAAAUUUGUAGGGCUUAUGUUUUUUAGCAAGAGUCUACUAAACAAAAGCUAUAUGAAUAACUUGUUUUAUACAAAAAAUUUACAUAUAAAAAAUUUAAAAAAUCUAAUAAAUAUAUCUCACCACAUUAGGUGAAAAUAACUUUAUGCUUGGCACAUGUUUGAUAUAUAAUUUUGAUUUAAAAUUUACUUUAUAUAUAUAUAUAUAUAUAUAUAUAUAUAUAUAUAUAUAUAUAUAUAUAAUUGGGAUUGUUUGAUAGUCAAAUCAAAUCUAUGUAAUGUUCUAAUAAUUAUUGUGUAACUUAAUUGAUUUUUGUUUAAUAGUAAAUUAUUUUGUAGUUGUAUUAAUUGUUUAAUAAUAUCGUUGACAUGCAAUUUAAUGAGUUAGGUUCAUAGUUUUAAAAUAUGGCCCGGCCCGGCGGGUCGACCUGGGACCCGAUUGACCCGGGGCUGGAACCGAGCCGGGUUGAUGAAAAAACCGGUAAGGAAAUUGGCCUGGAAAAACCCGGUCGACCCGGCGGGUCAAUCCGGGUAAACCCGGCUGAGACCCAGCUAGUUUAUAUAUAUAAAAUGUUACCGUUUUAGUUUUUUACUAUCAAGUAUCAACUCAUUUGUAAUAUAAAGACAGAAUCACAAAAAACCUAAUCACUUCUCUCAUCUUUCUGUUCUUUCUUUCGUUCGAGUUGCUAAAAGGGGUUGUUUGUUCCGCUAUCCUCAUUGGUCUGAGAUCUGCCGGGAAAAGAAAAUCUCUUUCUUUUCUUAUUUAGAUUCUUAGUUUUUCUUAGAUGAGAGAAAGAGUAGAAACAAAGGGUACACUCUCUAGAAAAUGGGGGCUGCUAAAUUAGAAAGAAGGUCUAGAUGAGAAUGAUAAUGGUCAAACAAAAUGGAUGUGUUAUGUUAGAUUCUGUCAGUGGAUGUUUCCAAGUUUUUCUUUCCUUUGCACUUGGCUUUUGAGGGGAGAUUUCCAGUCUCAAAAGGGAUAAGAAAAUAGAGAAUAAGUCAGGAUCUCGAUCGAUGAAAUGGAAAACAAGUUGAUUCAACUUUGAGAGUUGGGAAAAGAGAGAUUUCAGAUCUGCUUGAGGUAGGGUAUGAUCUGCUAUUUGAAAAAUUUAUCCACCAAUUGUGAUUGUUUGAAUCAAAGUUUGAUUGUGUUUUUGGGUUAAUCUUGAGUUUAUGGAGACUAAGGUUGCUGCUUUGAGAGGAAAUAAUAGUUGUGUUUGAAAAAAUCUUUUUUUUGGUUGACCCGGCUCAACCCAUCUGACUCAUGACCCGAUCAUUAGACCGGGUCGGGUUUAAAAAUUAUGAUUAGGAUGAUCAUUUCACUAAGGCGAGUACGAAGUUAUUUAUGUUUAAACUUAAGUAACUCUUUCUCUGCUUUCAACAAAGACAAGCUUAUUCACCUUGCUCAUUUUUAUCCCGAUGAGUUCUUUAUAAUGGACCUUAUGGUACUUGGUUACCAAUUUGAUAUGUAUAUUAUUGAUCUACACAAUGAUGAUGAUUUCUUUGGUAUUAAAGGUAUUGCUAGUCUUGCGGAGAAAAUAGUAAAAAUAAAGAAUGACAGUUUAGAGAGAGUUUUUCAAAUUAGUAUAUAUGCUUGGUAUAUAUACUUUUCAAAUUGUCAUUACUUCUACUAGUUGCAACUACUAAAGUGAAAAGAGUUUUUUUUUUUUUAUAUGCGUAUUAUUAAAAGUAAAUUGCAGAAUAAGAUGAGAAAUAAAUGGAUAGAUGAUAGUUUGAUUAUAUAUGCUGAGAAAAAUAUCUUUGAUGUGAUUGAUAAUGAAGUCAUUAUAAAGAGAAUUUAAAAUAUGAAAACUCGAAGAGAACAAUUAUAAUGUAAGUUUUUUUAUUUUAAAAAUAUUUUAAAAUUAAUUUAGCUUGAUAUGAGUUAAUACAUAUAUUUCAAAUUAAUUUCUCAUGUAAUACAUGUCUAUAUAAUAUCAAAUAUUUAUUAAUAAUUUAUCUUCUCGUUUAAAAAAUAGAAUCUGCCACUGGUUAUAUCUGAUUAAGAAGCUGGAGUUAUAAAGUUAAUGAAUCAACUUUCAGUUAAUGGAUUAAUCCAUAGAUCACAUUAAUUUAUCAUAAAUAUAUUAUUUAUGUACUUGCAUCAUAAUAUAGGACAUUGCAAAUUGGCACCUGUUUUAUCUAAUCGAGUUUAAUUAUUAAGAAGAAAUCUAAAACAUCUCUAAGACUGUUAAUCCCCUCAUAAAUACUGCAAAUUCCAUGGCAUUGCUGUCAUUGAACUAAUACAAGUGUGAUAAUUCUGUCUCAAGAGACCAAACUUCUUCAAUCUGAAAUGCUGCAGUGUUGAUCUUUAGUGGCUGAAGCCCUACUCUUUUUCCUUACAAUUCGUUUCUGUAUUUCCAUUAUCACAGAAACCAUUCUCUUUUCCUUGCUCUUUUGCAUUUUCUUCAGGUGAUGAAUCCUUUUCUUUUGCUUUUUCUUCAGGUGAUGAAUCCUUUUCUCUUGCUUCUUCUUCAGCUUUCAAUCUGGCGUCCUCUUUUGCCUUCUCAAGCCCUGCUAUUAGUCCCUCCAAGCAAACCUUGUUGUCUCCAGGAAGAGUCUUUGGCAUUAAAUGCUCCGCCACUUCAGCGGGAGUCAUUUUGGUUUCUCCCAGCAACUCUUGGAUCUUGGAAUACAAGUGGUGUGUUUCAAGCCGAAGGUAAUUCUUAGCCAAAACCUUGAAUGCUUCAAAGCUACAAUAUGACAAUUCUAUGUGCUUGUCCAUCCUUCCUUUCCUGAUAAGAGCUGGAUCAAGUUUCUCCAAGAAAUUAGUUGUGAAAACAACCAGUCUUUCUCCUUUACAAGCUGACCAGAGUCCAUCAAUAAAAUUCAAAAGCCCAGAAAGAGUGACCUGACUCUGUUUGCUGUCUGUUUCUUCCUUUGGCAGCUUCAGCUUUGGAUCCUUCUCAUCUCCCCUUCCCUGUUCUUCCUUUUUCUUCUUCCUUUGACCGGUUAGAUCAAGAGAACAGUCAAUAUCCUCGAUCACA